rnacentral:rRNA from 1 species
CUUUCAACAACGGAUCUCUUGGUUCCAGCAUCGAUGAAGAACGCAGCGAAAUGCGAUAAGUAAUGUGAAUUGCAGAAUUCAGUGAAUCAUCGAAUCUUUGAACGCACAUUGCGCCCCUUCGGUAUUCCGGGGGGCAUGCCU